rnacentral:rRNA from 1 species
UACGUAGGGUGCGAGCGUUGUCCGGAAUUAUUGGGCGUAAAGGGCUCGUAGGCGGUUUGUCGCGUCGGGAGUGAAAACACACAGCUUAACUGUGUGCUUGCUUCCGAUACGGGCAGACUAGAGGUAUGCAGGGGAGAACGGAAUUCCUGGUGUAGCGGUGAAAUGCGCAGAUAUCAGGAGGAACACCGGUGGCGAAGGCGGUUCUCUGGGCCGUAACUGACGCUGAGGAGCGAAAGCAUGGGGAGCGAACAGG